rnacentral:lncRNA from 1 species
AAAUUCCAGGCAGCACCAACAAAAACACGGCAGGCUUUGGGGGGCGGGGGGAGUCAUGGCCACCUGGGGUGGUCACCAGACAGGGGAUCUACAGCUCCAGAUACAGUCAGGGAUGGCACUAUUGGAGUCCAAGUAACUCUUGAAGUCCUGAGGCGUUGCUCCUGGGGCUGGCUUCUGUCUUAGCAACAUCUUCUGCUCCUCCUUCCCUUCCCCCUUCCAAGUCCAGGGACUCAUCUGCUUACAGCUUUCCUGCCAGUAGAGCCGACCACAGCUCUUGAAGGUCUGACCUGAGGUUAAAACUAGACCGAAGAUCAUCCGAUUCCAGCAGAAGGGUUUGGUGGCCUACGGUGACACAGUUCAAGGCCUCAGACCGGAGACUUAGAAGGAAGCAUAGGAGAAGCCAUCGGGCAUAGGAGCCGCUUGCUCAUCCUGGCCAACAGCCCCAGCUUCUGAUGGGACACUAAGGCUCAGAGAGCACCCACAGUGUUCGGUGUGACGAGUGCCACUCAGAAAUCAUGGAGACAGCGGUGAUUGGGAUGGUGGCAGUGCUGUUAGUCAUCACUAUGGCCAUUACCUGCAUCCUCUGCUACUACAGCUAUGACUCACAGACCCAAGACCCAGAGAGGGGCCCCAGACGUAGCUUCACCGUGGCCACGUUUCACCAGGAGGCGUCGCUCUUCACGGGGCCGGCUCUUCAAUCCCGGCCACUGCCGAGGGCCCAGAACUUCUGGACUGUUGUGUGAGGUUGGCAGUCCUUCGACAUUUAUUCUGCUAGUGGGUCAGACCCAUCUGCUCCUUCAGUAAGCAGUGCCUGGUGUCUCACUCCUCCCAGCUCUCCAUCCUUAUCCUACGUUCCACAAACUUCUUGCCUUCCUCCAAUCUGGCUCGCUCUGCCCUCUAUCCUGGGGGAAUUGAGGACCAGGCGUGAGUUACCUUUGAGCUGAGGGAUCAGCUUGACCCUACUCACAAUGGGGCUGAAGAGUCUGAGGAGAUGUGGACGGAUACUGUGUGGUAGCCUAUGGUGGGGUGGCUCCAGACAGUUAUGGAACCCCACUGGAAGUUAGCACCCUGUCAGCGGGGUGCAGUGACGGAAGUCUAUUUGCCACCCAAGGAACCAGCGCCCCCGAGUGGACGAUUUGAAGAACUACGCGUUUGUUAAUAUUUUUGGAUGCUGCACAGUGCUCAACCCUCUCAGGCUUGCUUCUGUUGCCUGAAAUCAGCCCUGAAAUUCUGAAAACAAAGAGCUGUUUUCCGGGAACAAGUGACUUAUUUUAUAAUUGAGGACGUAUAUCCUUUUAUGGAUCUCUCCAAAACUGCUCUGGAAAACCACAAAAGGAAGCAGGAGAGAAAAAGAGAGCCGCAGAGAGCACACGGUGUUUCAUUAACAGGAAGGCCACCAAGAAGACUUUUAAACACGUUUUGAACAAGACUUGCUUUAUUGCUAUAGUUCGACAGACUGUGUCUAUUCUUAGCAAAUGUGAGUGAUUUGCGUCACUUAGGAAUGAUAGAAAAAUCGUGAACUGAAAGAUAAUUCCAAAAAAAGUUAAAAUGUUGCUACAUUUCAGCGCAUGUGAAAGCUGUUGAUUUUAACACAAAUAAAGGGACAUUUGUUUUUAUUAAUAGAAAAUCUGCUCACGGAAUAGAUGCCAUCUUGUAUUUAGAGACUGUGAUCUGAAGGAUGGAAAAUUAGCUUUGUGGCUUGUAUGUCUGAAUCUAACCUUGAACGGGUAACUCUCUCAGGACCUGCCUGUUGAGGGGAUGAGACUGAACCAGGGUCCUCUGGGAUGUAAGGGGGUCCAGACAUGUGGCUGCCACAGGAAGGAUCCAGAGAGUCAGGCUUGGGUCUGGAGAGAUUUGGGGGUGGGGUUGGCAGGGAAGAAGUGCAGGAAGGGAGUCGGGGUGCUGGAUGGGGGUGGAGUGAAUCCAGGUAGGUCGAGGCUCAGGAGGUAGAAGCUUCUGGAAACAUGUCUCUGUCAGUCUGGACACUGAGUCCCUGACUAGGGCUUUUACAGACAGGCCAGAAGGGAGGGCAGGGAGUCCUGGGGACCUAAUGAAGGGGUCACAGCAGGUGGGAAGAGUCAGUGUGGGGCUGAGGCCAGGAUGGGCACCUGAGAGGGGAGACAGAAGCAGCCAGACUGAGGUAGAUCCCAGCGACCCUCACUGCAGCUCCCCCUGAGGGCUGGCUCCCCAGGGCUUUGUCUCCCCCUCAGGCAGAGCCUGCUCUGAAGAUCUUCCUUGAAUCUUGCCAUCUCCACAGGAACUGAGCGGAACCUUCUUCCGGGCAACAGCUAGACUGCUUGAGGGUGGGUGAGUCCCCAGACACAACGGAGCACCUGAGCACAAGGGUGUGUGUGUGUGUGUAUGUGUGUGUUGUGUAUGCGUGCACGGAAUCCUUCCCAAGUUGCUUUUGGUCAUGUGUUUUUGUCACACCGAUAGAUACCCUAAGUGUGCCAUGAUCUAUCGAUCUACUCACCCCACCAACCACGUACUCACUCACCCACAUAACCAUGCCUUCCCUUACCCACACGCUUUAUUCAUUCAUUCCAUUAUUCAGCCACCUGUCCUCCAUUUGGUGAGCGUGGACAGAGCUCUGCUGUGUACCUGCUCCUGCUCAGAGAAGGUGAGAGUCAGUCAGACCUGGUCCCAGCGCUCAGGGAAUACUGGACAGAACAGAAACAAACAUGCUUGGGGUGGGGUGGGGUGGGGAUAGGGAGAGAGGUGGGAGCCCAGGGAGAUUUGAGAGGAGGAGGAGGAGGUCCCUGAACUGGAAUAGAAGCAGAGAAGAGUCUUGGAUGAACAGGUCCAAGAAGGUGUUGGUGUAGAGAGCCCGUGGAGCAGGGAGAGCAGCAGCUUGGCUUGGCCCGGAGGAGAUGAGGCUGGACACCAGUCAUCUCCCAAGGGAAGCAUGUUCCCAGGCAGUGAAUGCUAAAUAUAGUACUGAGGUGGCCUUGGUCCAGGGACAAAAGAGCGCAUGACUACCUGCUGCUGAUGCAGUGCGGAGGUGGGUCUGAAGGCAGAUCAUGGGCCCUAGGUCCUCUGAGGAUUGGGGAGGUGGGUCUGAGGGCAGGGAAGCGCAGCCUAGAAGAGUAGGACUUCUAAAAAGGAAGGUGGUCCUCCCUGGGGCAAUCUAGCAAAGGGCUGAGAGGCGAAGCUAGAGCGGGGGAAGGAGAUCUGGGAGAACACAGACUAGAGGCUCUGGGGAGUGGAGUCUCUAAAAUCAUAAGAAUGCCAGGUAAGCUGGGAUCUCAAGUCAGUGAUGAGUAAUUUCUAGUUUGAAUGUAUUUCAUGAAAUAGUUGGAACACACACUAAAACGUUCAUUACCUAUGUAAGAUCAAGUGUUAUGGGGCAUCUUGUAUUUUAUCCGGUAGCCCCAUGGGACUGGUUAAAGACAGCAGAGGGUUGUCAGAGGAGCGUAGAGAGAAUUUUGCAACAUAAGGGUUGACAGUGACAUGGGUGACAACAGUGGACAGCCACUUUGCAGGCUGUGAUGUGUGUGCAUGGUUUGUGUAUGGUGUGUUGUAUGUGUCUGAUGUGCAGUAUGUAUAUGGUUCAUGAUAUGUGGUAUGUGUAAUGUGUACACCGCCUGUGUAGUAUAUGUGGUGUCUUGGGGUUUUUAUUGUUGUGAUAAAACACCAUGACCAAAGCAGCUUGGGAAGGAAAAGGUUUGUUCGGCAUAUGCUUCCACAUCAUCAAAGGAGGUCAAGACAGGGACUCAGACAGGGCAGGGAGUGGGGACAGCAGCUGAUGCAAAGGUCACGGAGGAGUGCUGCUUACUGACUUAUUCUUCAUGGCUUACUCGGCCUGCUUCCUUACAGAACCCAGGACCUCCAGCCCAGAAAUGGCCCCACUCACAACGGGCUGGGCCCUCCCACAUCCAUCACUAAUUUUAAAAAAUGCUCUACAGGCUUGCCCGAAGCCCAACUCUUUUUUUAAUUUAACUUUUUAUCAAUUCUUUGUAAACUUCACACUGUGGGCUCCAGUCCAACUCAUUCCCCUGUCUCUCUGUAUCUGCCCUCUUCCCUUGCAACCUCCCCCACCGAAGAAAACAAAAAUCAAAAACAAAAAAUGAAAGU